UAACUUAAAGCAAGGGAUAGACAGCGCCCGUGGAGCUCGCUCCCGGGGCCACCC
rnacentral:rRNA from 1 species